AAGCUUUGAUCACAAAUCCGUGUCAGUGUGCACCGAGAUCAUCCGUCCACCCGACAGGUCACGACGUUUUACUGCCGACGGCCUCAUAAAUCUGGUAAAUGACGGAGCGGCCGAUCCGAUGACCCCAUACAUCACCGAAAGGUCAGCAGCGCGAAGGAGAGGAAGCGAUCCGUCUUUUCGCCGUGAAACAGGAGAUUCUACGGCGGCAACACGACGGAGGAGCGUGAGUAAUGAAAGAAACACCUGCAGACAAGAGGAGGCCCAUUAGUAUGGAGGAGGGAGGAGCAGGGACCUUUACAGAGGAGGUGUGAGGACUGAAGGUCGUUGAAGGUCGCCGCUGUCCAAGCUGCAAAGACUCGUCCAUCUCUGCAAACUUUUUACAAACACAAAGAGAGAAACCAGCAGAGAUGUUUCUCCUUGUUUCUUGCAUUAAUUCACCUGCUGCAGUACGAAGACAUGUGACAUUAAAGCCGUUAUAUUUGUUGUAAAUGUCAGAAACUAUUAAAUAUUUAAAGAAUUAAACUAUUA